CCUUGAAAUACCACCCUUUAAUGUUUGAUGUUCUAACGUUGGCCCCUGAUCGGGGUUGCGGACAGUGUCUGGUGGGUAGUUUGACUGGGGCGGUCUCCUCCUAAAGAGUAACGGAGGAGCACGAAGGUUGGCUAAUCCUGGUCGGACAUCAGGAGGUUAGUGCAAUGGCAUAAGCCAGCUUGACUGCGAGCGUGACGGCGCGAGCAGGUGCGAAAGCAGGUCAUAGUGAUCCGGUGGUUCUGAAUGGAAGGGCCAUCGCUCAACGGAUAAAAGGUACUCCGGGGAUAACAGGCUGAUACCGCCCAAGAGUUCAUAUCGACGGCGGUGUUUGGCACCUCGAUGUCGGCUCAUCACAUCCUGGGGCUGAAGUAGGUCCCAAGGGUAUGGCUGUUCGCCAUUUAAAGUGGUACGCGAGCUGGGUUUAGAACGUCGUGAGACAGUUCGGUCCCUAUCUGCCGUGGGCGCUGGAGAACUGAGGGGGGCUGCUCCUAGUACGAGAGGACCGGAGUGGACGCAUCACUGGUGUUCGGGUUGUCAUGCCAAUGGCACUGCCCGGUAGCUAAAUGCGGAAGAGAUAAGUGCUGAAAGCAUCUAAGCACGAAACUUGCCCCGAGAUGAGUUCUCCCUGAGACUUAGAGUCUCCUGAAGGAACGUUGAAGACGACGACGUUGAUAGGCCGGGUGUGUAAGCGCAGCGAUGCGUUGAGCUAACCGGUACUAAUGAACCGUGAGGCUUAACCUU
rnacentral:rRNA from 1 species